AUCCUGGCUCAGGACGAACGCUGGCGGCGUGCUUAACACAUGCAAGUCGAGCGGUAAGGCCCUUCGGGGUACACGAGCGGCGAACGGGUGAGUAACACGUGAGCAACCUGCCCCUGACUCCGGGAUAAGCGGUGGAAACGCCGUCUAAUACCGGAUACGACCCGCCACCUCAUGGUGGAGGGUGGAAAGUUUUAUCGGUCAGGGAUGGGCUCGCGGCCUAUCAGCUUGUUGGUGGGGUAAAGGCCUACCAAGGCGAUUACGGGUAGCCGGCCUGAGAGGGCGACCGGCCACACUGGGACUGAGACACGGCCCAGACUCCUGCGGGAGGCAGCAGUGGGGAAUAUUGCACAAUGGGCGAAAGCCUGAUGCAGCGACGCCGCGUGGGGGAUGAAGGCCUUCGGGUUGUAAACCUUCUUUUACCACCAACGCAGGCUCCACGUUCUCGUGGGGUUGACGGUAGGUGGGGAAUAAGGACCGGCUAACUACGUGCCAGCAGCCGCGGUAAUACGUAGGGUCCGAGCGUUGUCCGGAAUUAUUGGGCGUAAAGAGCUCGUAGGCGGCAUGUCGCGUCUGCUGUGAAAGACCGGGGCUUAACUCCGGUUCUGCAGUGGAUACGGGCAUGCUAGAGGUAGGUAGGGGAAACUGGAAUUCCUGGUGUAGCGGUGAAAUGCGCAGAUAUCAGGAGGAACACCGGUGGCGAAGGCGGGUUUCUGGGCCUUACCUGACGCUGAGGAGCGAAAGCAUGGGGAGCGAACAGGAUUAGAUACCCUGGUAGUCCAUGCCGUAAACGUUGGGCGCUAGGUGUGGGGACUUUCCACGGUUUCCGCGCCGUAGCUAACGCAUUAAGCGCCCCGCCUGGGGAGUACGGCCGCAAGGCUAAAACUCAAAGGAAUUGACGGGGGCCCGCACAAGCGGCGGAGCAUGUUGCUUAAUUCGACGCAACGCGAAGAACCUUACCAAGGUUUGACAUCACCCGUGGACCUGUAGAGAUACAGGGUCAUUUAGUUGGUGGGUGACAGGUGGUGCAUGGCUGUCGUCAGCUCGUGUCGUGAGAUGUUGGGUUAAGUCCCGCAACGAGCGCAACCCUUGUUCCAUGUUGCCAGCACGUAAUGGUGGGGACUCAUGGGAGACUGCCGGGGUCAACUCGGAGGAAGGUGGGGACGACGUCAAGUCAUCAUGCCCCUUAUGUCUUGGGCUGCAAACAUGCUACAAUGGCCGGUACAAUGGGCGUGCGAUACCGUAAGGUGGAGCGAAUCCCUUAAAGCCGGUCUCAGUUCGGAUUGGGGUCUGCAACUCGACCCCAUGAAGGUGGAGUCGCUAGUAAUCGCGGAUCAGCAACGCCGCGGUGAAUACGUUCCCGGGCCUUGUACACACCGCCCGUCACGUCAUGAAAGUCGGCAACACCCGAAACUUGUGGCCUAACCCUUCGGGGAGGGAAUGAGUGAAGGUGGGGCUGGCGAUUGGGACGAAGUCGUAC
rnacentral:rRNA from 1 species